GGAUCUGAUCGUAGAUAGAGACUGAACCUGUGCGGGGGUAGGGGCGGAUGUAGCCAAGUGGAUCAAGGCAGUGGAUUGUGAAUCCACCACGCGCGGGUUCAAUCCCCGUCGUUCGCCC
rnacentral:tRNA from 1 species